rnacentral:rRNA from 1 species
GACGAACACUGGCGGCGUGCUUAACACAUGCAAGUCGAACGGAAAGGCCCUGCUUUUGUGGGGUGCUCGAGUGGCGAACGGGUGAGUAACACGUGAGUAACCUGCCCUUGACUUUGGGAUAACUUCAGGAAACUGGGGCUAAUACCGGAUAGGAGCUCCUGCUGCAUGGUGGGGGUUGGAAAGUUUCGGCGGUUGGGGAUGGACUCGCGGCUUAUCAGCUUGUUGGUGGGGUAGUGGCUUACCAAGGCUUUGACGGGUAGCCGGCCUGAGAGGGUGACCGGCCACAUUGGGACUGAGAUACGGCCCAGACUCCUACGGGAGGCGGCAGUGGGGAAUAUUGCACAAUGGGCGGAAGCCUGAUGCAGCAACGCCGCGUGCGGGAUGACGGCCUUCGGGUUGUAAACCGCUUUCGCCUGUGACGAAGCGUGAGUGACGGUAAUGGGUAAAGAAGCACCGGCUAACUACGUG